GGAAUCUGAUACAGGGCUCGAAUAAAAGGAUCUUGGCGGAAGUCCCUCAGGGAGAUUGGAGAUUCCCAGUUUAGUGGGAGUCAAGGCAUGGGUAAGGACUCAUCAGGUCUGUGUCUUGGGCUUGGAGGGGCACCCCAGGCCCGAGAUGGAGCGUUGCGCGUCCCAGCCUGCGCCUCGAGUGCCAAGGAGACUCCUAGGACCAGACUGUGUUCCCACCUUGACUCACCGCGGCUCUGCACCGGUUGGGUAUUCUCACCAUGGCAGGUGUGGACUCUGAGGCUCAGAAAGCUUAUGUGGCUUCCACUCCUCCGAUCCAGUCUCCACUCAGCAGCCAAAGUGAUCUUUUAAAAUGUAUCUCAUCUUUUUCUCUGUGUAUUACUCUUAAGGAAAAAAAUGUUUUGUUUUGUUUUUAAAGUAUGCUGCUAAGUCACUCCUCUGUAUGAAACUGUCUCUUGGUUUUCCAUUGUGUUUAGAAUAAUAUCUGAGCUCUUUUUGACGAAGGCCUACAAAGCUGUGAAUGAUCUGUUCCCCGCCUACAUCUUCAAUCUCCUCAAGCCCCCUCUGCCCCUCUUUCACCUACCCAGCCACACAGGCCAAACUCAUUGUCACCUCGGGGCCUUUGCACAUGCUGUUCCCUGUGCCUGGAAAGCACUUAACCUUGCUCUUUCACAACUGGGUCCUUUCAUCAUCUGCAUCCCUGCUGGAAAGUCAGGUGUCAGAGAUGCCAUCCGUGAUGAUGCAAUCUAAAGUCAGUAUCACAUUACCCGGCACUUAUCCCAGGGUAACUUAUGUUACACUGUUUUAUUCACCAGCGUGUCCACGGUGCCCAGAACAGUGUUUGGCCCUGAGUAGGUGCUCGUUAAAUAUUUGUGGAUGAAAUGAAUGAAUGCUUUGCCCAAAUCCCCAGUGCUUACAGGUGGUAGAACUGGGGUUGGAACCCAAGCUCCCCUGGUUCCAGGGAUGCUCGUCCCCCACCCACCACACUUCAUUGUAUGACCUCAUAGGCAGAGUUGACUCUUUCCUCCUCGGUUUGUGACGCGUCACCACUGUAAACAAGGCCCCUCUCGGUGUGCUCAGGCAGCUUCCUUGAAUCCUGUCUGGUUCUCUUCUAUACAUGGCUUGGCUCCUAUAUGGAUGCUUUAAAUUUACAAACAUGCUGUCGUGUAUAAGACUCAUCCUGUUUACGGUUUUACACUCAACUCUAAUGUUUUCCACAUGCAUCUCAUUUGUUACUUCUGCUAGUUGCAUGUAAUACGCCACGCUGAGCAUCCAGUACUCUUAGUAUCCCCCACACCCUUCAGUGAUGCACCCCUUAGCUUGGCCUCAGUGCCCCUGUCACAUACAUCACUGCUACGAACACCUGUCUUCAACUGUCUCCUUAUGGGCUGUGGGAGAAUUCUCCUCGAAGUAGGACUUCCAGGCCACAGGGUACACGCACCCUCGGCUUCCCAAAGCACCGACGGUGCUCUCCUGGGUGGCUGUUGGAACUUCCACACUUACCGGGAGGGUUCUGGUUUUCCGUUAGCACUUGGCUUUCCAGUUUUCUGAUGCUUGCUAAUCUGACGAAUCUGAAGUGGUUCCUAACUUCCAUCUGGGUUCUCUUGAUGACUAGGGAAUUUGAAUAGCUCUUCAUGCACUUGGCAGUCAUGGUGGUUCCCUCUUCUGUGAAUUGUCUCUUUGGGGAGCCUUUGUCUAUCUUUUCUAUUGGGUUUCUAGCCUUCUUUCUACUGAUUUGCAUGUCUACACACAGCUAAGUAUCAGUGCUUUGGUGUUGCACAUAUCUCUUCUCUUUGUCUCCUUACUUUGUCCGAGUUUCCCUUCGUUAACAAUGCUCGGAGUCCUGGGGUGGAGUGCAGGCUUGGGCCCACGUCCCACGGGGGCGUUCUCCGCGAGCGCCGCCUUGGCUCCCGCCGGACCCCCCACCGAUGGAUGAUGGGGGCUCUGGAUGCCAGCACUGCCCUGGAGUGGCUCCGGGAUGGGCCUGCUACUUCCUCUCCCACACCCCAGCACUCUCGCUCAAAGACCUGCAGGGGACACCCCAAGAACCCUCCCCCGGACUCAGAGCCCCUCCUACAAGUAUGAGAAGAAAAGAAAGAAAAGUGAAAGAGAGAAAAAAGAGAGAGAGAAAUACCACUGGCCCAGGGUAGAGAUGCCCACGGACAGGUUCCUGGCGGACCCAGAGUGAGGACGGCUGCUCAGAACCCGUGUCUCCAGUCGCACUGGAAACGCCCCGGCAGCAACACGCAGGGGGAAGACUGUGGCAGCGACCACAGCAAACCCUUGCCUCCUACGGACACUGGCACAAACAGGCAAAUCCCCCAAGGAUGGAUUGGGUCCACGGGAUGCGGACUAGGUUAUAGGAAAGUGGUGCUAAAUAUCUCACUGUGUUCCCAGCUUCCAUUGAGGGCAGGACCAGACCAGAAACUGUGUAAACUUCCGAGAACGUGGCCUUGCUUGGUGUGUUCACGAGUCAUUUGACCCAUGAUAUACAUGGGACUAAACCCAUGACUCAUGAUUUUCUACAGCAUAUCACUAAUCAGCAACAUAAAGAACAAGAGUUUUCAGGCCACUUUCA